CGCUGGCUGUGUGCCUAAUACAUGCAUGUCGAGCGAGGUUAGCAAUAACCUAGCGGCGAAUGGGUGAGUAACACGUGCUUAAUCUACCUUUUAGAUUGGAAUACCCAUUGGAAACAAUGGCUAAUGCCGGAUACGCAUGGAACCGCAUGGUUCCGUUGUGAAAGGCGCUGUAAGGCGCCACUAAAAGAUGAGGGUGCGGAACAUUAGUUAGUUGGUGAGGUAAUGGCCCACCAAGACUAUGAUGUUUAGCCGGGUCGAGAGACUGAACGGCCACAUUGGGACUGAGAUACGGCCCAAACUCCUACGGGAGGCAGCAGUAGGGAAUAUUCCACAAUGAGCGAAAGCUUGAUGGAGCGACACAGCGUGCACGAUGAAGGUCUUCGGAUUGUAAAGUGCUGUUAUAAGGGAAGAACAUUUGCAAUAGGAAAUGAUUGCAGACUGACGGUACCUUGUCAGAAAGCGAUGGCUAACUAUGUGCCAGCAGCCGCGGUAAUACAUAGGUCGCAAGCGUUAUCCGGAAUUAUUGGGCGUAAAGCGUUCGUAGGCUGUUUGUUAAGUCUGGAGUUAAAUCCCGGGGCUCAACCCCGGCUCGCUUUGGAUACUAGCAAACUAGAGUUAGAUAGAGGUAAGCGGAAUUCCAUGUGAAGCGGUGAAAUGCGUAGAUAUAUGGAAGAACACCAAAGGCGAAGGCAGCUUACUGGGUCUAUACUGACGCU
rnacentral:rRNA from 1 species